rnacentral:rRNA from 1 species
AAUCAACGCUGGCGGCGUGCCUAAUACAUGCAAGUCGAACGGGCGUAGCAAUACGUCAGUGGCGGACGGGUGAGUAACACGUGGGAACAUGCCUUUCGGUUCGGAAUAACGCAGGGAAACUUGCGCUAAUACCGGAUGACCCGGCGACGGAAAAGAUUUAUCGCCGAAAGAUUGGCCCGCGUAGGAUUAGCUAGUUGGUGAGGUAACGGCCCACCAAGGCGACGAUCCUUAGCUGGUUUGAGAGAACGAUCAGCCACACUGGGACUGAGACACGGCCCAGACUCCUACGGGAGGCAGCAGUAGGGAAUCUUGGACAAUGGGGGAAACCCUGAUCCAGCCAUGCCGCGUGAGUGAUGAAGGCC